rnacentral:rRNA from 1 species
UACGUAGGGUGCAAGCGUUGUCCGGAAUUAUUGGGCGUAAAGAGCUCGUAGGCGGUUUGUCGCGUCUGCUGUGAGAACUCGGGGCUUAACCCCGGGCCUGCAGUGGGUACGGGCAGACUAGAGUGUGGUAGGGGAGACUGGAAUUCCUGGUGUAGCGGUGAAAUGCGCAGAUAUCAGGAGGAACACCGAUGGCGAAGGCAGGUCUCUGGGCCACUACUGACGCUGAGAAGCGAAAGCAUGGGGAGCGAACAGG